rnacentral:rRNA from 1 species
GACGAACGCUGGCGGCGUGCUUAACACAUGCAAGUCGAACGGAAAGGCCCCUUUGGGGGUACUCGAGUGGCGAACGGGUGAGUAACACGUGAGUAACCUGCCCUUGACUUCGGGAUAACUUCAGGAAACUAGGGCUAAUACCGGAUAGGAAUCCUUGCUGCAUGGUGGGGGUUGGAAAGCUUCGGCGGUUUUGGAUGGACUCACGGCUUAUCAGCUUGUUGGUGGGGUAGUGGCUUACCAAGGCUUUGACGGGUAGCCGGCCUGAGAGGGCGACCGGCCACAUUGGGACUGAGAUACGGCCCAGACUCCUACGGGAGGCAGCAGUGGGGAAUAUUGCACAAUGGGCGGAAGCCUGAUGCAGCAACGCCGCGGGCGGGAGGACGGCCUUCGGGUUGUAAACCGCUUUCAGCAGGGGCGAAGCUUGUGGUGACGGUACCUGCAGAAGAAGCACCGGCUAACUACGUG